rnacentral:sRNA from 1 species
UCACAAAAUGACGAUGAACGUUCAGUGG